rnacentral:tRNA from 4 species
UGCGCCGUUAGCCCAAUGGUUAGGAUUCAUCUCUCCCACGGAUGAGGUCGGGGUUCGAUUCCCGAGUAA